ACGCUGGCGGCAGGCCUAACACAUGCAAGUCGAACGGUAACAGGAAAAAGCUUGCUGCUUCGCUGACGAGUGGCGGACGGGUGAGUAAUGUCUGGGAAACUGCCCGAUGGAGGGGGAUAACUACUGGAAACGGUAGCUAAUACCGCAUAACGUCGCAAGACCAAAGAGGGGGACCUUCGGGCCUCUUGCCAUCGGAUGUGCCCAGAUGGGAUUAGCUUGUUGGUGAGGUAACGGCUCACCAAGGCGACGAUCCCUAGCUGGUCUGAGAGGAUGACCAGCCACACUGGAACUGAGACACGGUCCAGACUCCUACGGGAGGCAGCAGUGGGGAAUAUUGCACAAUGGGCGCAAGCCUGAUGCAGCCAUGCCGCGUGUAUGAAGAAGGCCUUCGGGUUGUAAAGUACUUUCAGGCGGGGAGGAAGGGAGUAAAGUUAAUACCUUUGCUCAUUGACGUUACCCGCAGAAGAAGCACCGGCUAACUCCGUGCCAGCAGCC
rnacentral:rRNA from 1 species